rnacentral:rRNA from 1 species
GACAAUGGGCGCAAGCCUGAUCCAGCCAUGCCGCGUGAGUGAUGAAGGCCUUAGGGUCGUAAAGCUCUUUCGCCAGGGAUGAUAAUGACAGUACCUGGUAAAGAAACCCCGGCUAACUCCGUGCCAGCAGCCGCGGUAAUACGGAGGGGGUUAGCGUUGUUCGGAAUUACUGGGCGUAAAGCGCGCGUAGGCGGAUCAGAAAGUUGGGGGUGAAAUCCCGGGGCUCAACCCCGGAACUGCCUCCAAAACUCCUGGUCUUGAGUUCGAGAGAGGUGAGUGGAAUUCCGAGUGUAGAGGUGAAAUUCGUAGAUAUUCGGAGGAACACCAGUGGCGAAGGCGGCUCACUGGCUCGAUACUGACGCUGAGGUGCGAAAGUGUGGGGAGCAAACAGGAUUAGAUACCCUGGUAG